CACGACACACCUCCAUGUGAGCGUAACCUAACCCUGGAUAAUUUGAACAGACGAACGCUGCAAAAGUCGAAUGAAUACAAGUUGAACGUGUAUUAAAUAGAAAUGUUUUUGGAUUCUUUGAUUCAAGUUUAAAAGCGUGGAAAAUUUGUCACGUAAUCGCUACAGGUUGAAUAAACGCUAAAAAUCAUGGAAGAAGACCACGAAAUUGCUACACAAUAUGAAUCGACAAAGGAAUUCAAGCUCUUUCAGGUGGGGGAGGGAAAGGGAGAGAGACAUGACACUGUUGACAGCAGUGAUAUAUCAUGGAAUUGUUAAAAUGGUGUUGGAUGAUGUCUGCAGCAUUGCAACUACAUUCCAAGAAGAAAUGGUUUGUUUGCAUUUCUCAUACAAUACCACACAGUACCAGAUCAUGACCAAUGCAAGUGACAAUAAUAAUGGACUCUUAUACCAUACCAAGAAUUAUUAAGUUUGAGAGUUUUUUGAACAAUUAAAUCAGGAAUCCCAAUUAUUGUUGUUAGUGUUAGUUGUUAUAUAACGUAUUUCAUUAACUAUGAAUUCGAGUUGUGAUAUAUUUAUUGUUGUAUGCUUGAACAAAUAAAUCAUGAAUCCAAAUAAUUUCUGAUAGUGUUAGGUAUUAUAUAACGUAUAUCAUUAACUAUGAAUCCGAGUUAUGAUAUAUUUAUUGUUGUUA